ACCUCUGCUCCCCACGACAUCACCAACAUUUCUGCAGGACAGAACCCCCUGAUUUAAUCUACCAUAAUGCUCUCUGUUCUGUUGUCAUGGCAACAUGAAGUCAAAAAAUACAAAUACAAAAAUGCAAAAGAACAGGAGGACAACAAGACAGGCAGCUGGAAGAGCUUUUGAAGCAGAAAAACUUUUCUGGAUUUAUCUUAACUUAACUGGAAAUUUUGCAAAACAAGUCAAGCUGGAAACAAGGAGGCAGCUGGUUGGAUUAUAUCUGAGGACAGGACGCAUGAAGGAGAAGCAUGAGGAGAGAGAAAACAGCAGAGAGAUGGUGUGGAGCUAAUCGUGGAUCAAGUCGAAGAAGCAAGCACCAAAACUGGGAUGCCCCUCCUCCUUCCUGUCGUUCAGUCACUUGUCAACAACCAGCUGAUUGCUCCCCUGCUCCUCAUGAAGUCUUCAUGCUGGCUUCUCAACAACCACAUCAUUGCAUCACCAAGACCUUUCAGCUUUUUCGGAUCCCUGCAAUCUUCUGUGACAGUGUCUGAGUGUGCCUUCAGACAGCCUGCAGUACCUCUGCCCGUCUCCUGGAGCCCACAGUGUUUAUCCUGUAUUCAUAACUAUCUGC
ensembl:lncRNA